UACGCCCCAGUCCCAGAGUACGCCCCAGUCCCAGAAUGAACCCCAGUCCCAGAGGACGCCCCAGUCCCAGAGUGAACCCCAGUCUCAGACUGCAUCGAGCAUGUUGGGGCACUUAAAAGAGGAAACAUCCCGGCAAAAGAGGAGCCGGUGAGAAUUGAGUGUUCUCCAGCUGGAGCUAACUAACUAGCGGUAAAUCUCUUUCUUAGAGAAUGCAAUACUACUAAUAAUAGUAAUAAUAUUAUCAACAAUAAUAUAAUUACAGUAAUGUGAUGAUUUAUUUUGCAUAGAAUAAAGCUUGAUCGAGCUUAGGAGUCAGGGCUGUUUUUAUUAUUGGAACACUAUUAGGUAUUAUAGUCUUAUUGACACGGUGUGGGUUUGUCUUGUCAUGUUUAGUGGUUCCCUGUCUGUCUAUAAGUCAUCCCAGGUGUUUCCCGUUAACCACGCCCCCUUUUUAUUUUAUCAAGCUCGUUUACCCCUGUAUUUAAGCCCUGUGUUUCAGCCCUGUCUUUGUGAGUUCUAGCCCUGUCUUUGUGAGUUAUUGUCACUGUUACGUUGAUGUAGGUUGUUCUGUUCCCGAGUCUUAUUUCCUUGCCUGAGUCUUUGUAUGGUUUCUGUUCCCGAGUCUUUGUAUAGUUUCUGUUCCCGAGUCUUUGUAUAGUUUCUGUUCCCGAGUCUUGUUCCCUUGCCUGAGUCUUUGCAUGGUUUCUGUUCCUGAGUCUUUGUAUAGUUUCUGUUCCCGAGUCUUGUUCCCUUGCCUGAGUCUUUGUAUAGUUUGAGUGUAUUUAAAUAAACGUGCUGCAUUUGGAUCCUGCUUCAACCUCACCUUGUAACACUUAUCACUUGCCUGUAUUUUUUUCCAUAAUCAUGGACUUACAAAAGGAGAUGUUAAGAAGAAUAUCACGGCAGUUACUUUUUCAUACUGUAAAUUAAAAGGUGAAAGAGAACGUCAGCUCUCAUUUGUCAGCUCAAUUGUCAUGUAAAAAAAAAUAUUGUAAUUUUAUAAUUUUAUAAUUUAAUAAUGGUUUGCAGAUUAAUAUUUUAUCAUUGUUUGUGUCCUGAAGUAAAUGUCCCUUUUUCUGUUUCAGUUCUAGUGGGCCUAUUAAACAAUGCUUAGAGAGCAUUUGUGUGUGAUUUGAGUUGGACCGAAAUCUGACAACUUAAAGAGAAUGACCUGUUUAGUUGGCUCAAAGUUCAUUAAAACAACUAUUUCAAAAGCUGAACUGAUUUUCUUUUUUUAUAUUAUAGUAAGAAUAUGUAUAACUCAAUGUUUUAACUAAUUGAAAAAGCUGAAUAAUCGUUCCAAACUUACUGAUUAGUCGGUAAA